rnacentral:lncRNA from 1 species
GCAAAUAGCAAACAUGCCCAUCAAAACCCUAUUUCUGAUCUGGGCAUCUCUACCUAUAUAUAUAUAUAUGUAUGUGUAUCCUCUCUUUUCUUCUCAUGAUCUCCAGAUUUUGAUACCCAUGACCACCAACUAUCACUAUUUUGGUCCUUUCCACAUGUCAGGCCGGCCAUGCACCCCCUCGCCUUCUACAUUCAUUGCCACUCCUCUGAUUUCCGAUCAUUAUCCUACGCCUACAUAUUAUAUAUAGUCUUGUCAUUUGUUAGUGAAGUGAAGUAAUGUUGCCCAUUUGCAUUUUGCAAGCGGCCAAGCGCCUUCCUGCACCUAGGGUUGGGUUCCA